rnacentral:lncRNA from 1 species
AGACUCCAUGGCUUUGCACUCACAGGAAUGCAUCCUCAAGAAGUCAUCUUUUAGUUUUCUUCUGGUGGCAAGUUUAGGAAAAUGGAAAAGUCUUUGGAAUUACCUCCUCAGCCACUUUAGGCUCUUGGUUUCCAAGAUGAUGCUUCUGGGGACUCACUUCUCUCGGUGCUCACAUUUCACAGGAUCUGCUGGUAUUCGUGACUACUCAUCAAGGAACAGAGGAGAAAAGGCCAAGGCCCACAGUCUGUGAUGCUUCAGCCCAAGCAAGAGCAAACUUACAUCCCAAGUACCGCAAUCCCAGACCAUUUGCAGGAUGUUGCUCCUCACGCUGCCACACAACUCGUCUAACCUCCACGAGCCUUAGUGUACUCAGCUGUCGGAGUAAUGACUCUUAUGAAGAAAGUGCACAGGAUAGGUGCUUAGUAAAAGCCAGUCCCCUUUUUAUCUGAAGAAAAAUUUCACAACGCUUGAAGGAAAGAGACUGCUCUCACCGUGCGACCCUUGGCUUUUUUCACUUAAGCCAUGCCUGCAGAAGAACAGGAUUCCUCUGGGUUGUAUCCACAGCUCCGCCAUUUGUGAUGCUUGGGUCCCUGAACUUGUCUCCAAGAUCAACCCUUGACUCUCAGAGACAGCAAGAGGCUACGCUGCAGAAUGAGCUUCGUCCUCAGACUCUGGGUGCUAGUUGUGCCCCACGCUUUGUAUUUGGGACCUUCAGUUCGUUUAACUGUUCAGCUUCCUGGGCUGCCUCCAGACCUUGUCUCUGGCUGAUUCACUUUUCUCUCAGGCCCACCAUCCCAACAUCAUUAAUCCAGCCCCUCUGAGGCUGUCACAAGGUUCAUUCAUAUGCAUAUUAGAUAAUACCCGUUAGUGAUGCCCAUUAAUUAAGCAGAGCAAUUUGUUUAUAAUUAACUGGAGAAAUUUAUGGCUUCAGAAAACAAUUACAGGAGCCGAUAUAAACACAUUAGGUAGCGAUAGCAAUGCCAAGUCUAAUUGCUUUCUAGAAGAAUCAUUGAUAGUAAUGCCACAGCCAUUAUGUCUUAAGUCUGACAGGAGCUUGUAAAUUCAUCAUUGCUUGUAGAAACCAACAUCUCAGGCGAUUGGCAAUGGUAACGUCCAGCCUUGUAAACUACCUAGGCUACAACC